GACGAGCGCUGGCGGCGUGCUUAACACAUGCAAGUCGAACGGAAAGGCCCUGCUUUUGUGGGGUGCUCGAGUGGCGAACGGGUGAGUAACACGUGAGUAACCUGCCCUUGACUUUGGGAUAACUUCAGGAAACUGGGGCUAAUACCGGAUAGGAGCUCCUGCUGCAUGGUGGGGGUUGGAAAGUUUCGGCGGUUGGGGAAGGACUCGCGGCUUAUCAGCUUGUUGGUGGGGUAGUGGCUUACCAAGGCUUUGACGGGUAGCCGGCCUGAGAGGGUGACCGGCCACAUUGGGACUGAGAUACGGCCCAGACUCCUACGGGAGGCAGCAGUGGGGAAUAUUGCACAAUGGGCGGAAGCCUGAUGCAGCAACGCCGCGUGCGGGAUGACGGCCUUCGGGUUGUAAACCGCUUUCGCCUGUGACGAAGCGUGAGUGACGGUAAUGGGUAAAGAAGCACCGGCUAACUACGUG
rnacentral:rRNA from 1 species